AACUAUGCAUCGACCCUAAAAACAGCGAGAGCGCUUUAGGAAUCGUUUAUGAUUUAAUUAGUUUUCAAAAUAUGCUUUCUAAUUGAAACGGCCGAGCGAGAGCAAAAUCCUGUGGUUAGGAGGUGUGGUUUUAGUCAAUAGCGCAAGAGUGUGAGACGGAGUCUUUAAAUCAAUAUUUUCUACAAAAACACAAUAAAAUCGUAAUUAGUUACAGAAUUUUACCUAAUCCCUUAGGAACACGGAAUCCAUAUUUUGGGCUUUUAUCAUCAUUUUCAAACUUCUAGCUAUUAGCGUUUAUAUUUUCGUUCAUAUCCUUUUAAACUUUAGCCUUAGCUUUGCAAUUGCAACGAUAGAUAACAUUAGUUUGAUUAUUAGUUUCCGUGGAUUCGACAAUCUUUUAAAACUACACGAUAAACUGUAUACUUACAGUUAUUAUCCAACAGACACGUCCAUCACGAUCCAAUACUAAAAAACUAGACAAUGAGUUUGGGGGUUGCAGGCGCUGAACACAUGGUUUGAUCAGUAGUUAUGGGCGCAGGGCCACUGUUCCAAGGCCUAAGGCUUCAAGAGUUUCAUCCAGGGGUGUGUGUAUACUUGGAUAGGGUGAAAGUAGUAAGAAAAUGGGCUUGAGGCCCUAAUGAUAUGAAAUAAUGAGUUUUAAGAGAAUUCAGGUUUCCUUAAUUCAACUCAAACCAUGUCUCUCAACCUCACUGAUCUCCUUCCAUCACCGUCGUGCCAGCAUCUCCUCUGGAAGCAGAGGAGGUCCUGUCACAAAAUUGAACACACCAUUGUCUUUGUCACCACCUCUACAAUCCGAAUCCACCAGUCACAUAACCUAAUUUCUAUCCAUAAUUUCAAAAAUUAAAUGCAAGGGAGAUGAAAUUGAAGCCAACACACUUAGGGCUUCAAUUCCCCAGGCUAAGGGUUAUAUCCUGGUAAGAAGUUGAAGAUGAAAUAAAGGAGAAAUGCAAAGGAGCUUACUGGCCAGAACAGUUUCGGUGACUCUUUAAGGCAAAUCAAAUGGAGAAGGAGAACCAACUUGGCUUUGAAGAAAGACAUGAAGAUGAUGGAAGAAGAACGAAAUUAAUGGAUAGGGUUUUAGCAAUCCAAGUAAUGUUGACUUUGGUCAACUGUUGGCUAAAAAGUCAAUAGUUGACUAAAAGUCUAACUCUACCAAAAAAACUUCAUUUUUUGUAAAUGUUUGUAUUUAUGGACCAUGUGACUUGUGAUUUGGAUGAAGUGUAAUAAAUAAUAAAAAGUUUAUUUA